rnacentral:rRNA from 1 species
GAUGAACGCUAGCGGCAGGCUUAAUACAUGCAAGUCGAGGGGCAUCAAGGUACACGAAAGUGUAUUGUUGGCGACCGGCGGACGGGUGAGUAAUAGGUAGGUAACCUACCUCAUACUGAGGCAUAGCUGGGAGAAAUUCCAGGUAAUUCCUCAUGAGGUUAUAUGACACAUGUGAUAUAAUCAAAGGUAUCGCAAGGUACUGGUAUGAGAUGGGCUUACUGACCAUUAGCUAGUUGGUGAGAUAAGAGCUCACCAAGGCGAAGAUGGUUAGGGGUUUUGAGAGAGAGAUCCCCCACAUUGGAACUGAGAUACGGUCCAGACUCCUACGGGAGGCAGCAGUAGGGAAUAUUGGGCAAUGGGCGGAAGCCUGACCCAGCCAUGCCGCGUGAAGGAAGACGGCCUUAUGGGUUGUAAACUUCUUUACUAUGCGACUAACUAGAUUUACGAGAUAAUUCUAUAGAAUGUAGCAUAGCAAAAAGCACCGG